rnacentral:rRNA from 1 species
UUCCAGACUCCUACGGGAGGCAGCAGUGGGGAAUAUUGCACAAUGGGGGAAACCCUGAUGCAGCGACGCCGCGUGAGCGAUGAAGUAUUUCGGUAUGUAAAGCUCUAUCAGCAGGGAAGAAAAUGACGGUACCUGACCAAGAAGCUCCGGCUAAAUACGUGCCAGCAGCCGCGGUAAUACGUAUGGAGCAAGCGUUAUCCGGAUUUACUGGGUGUAAAGGGAGCGCAGGCGGCCUUGCAAGUCUGAUGUGAAAGGCCGGGGCCCAACCCCGGGACUGCAUUGGAAACUGCGAGGCUGGAGUGUCGGAGAGGCAGGCGGAAUUCCUAGUGUAGCGGUGAAAUGCGUAGAUAUUAGGAGGAACACCAGUGGCGAAGGCGGCCUGCUGGACGAUGACUGACGCUGAGGCUCGAAAGCGUGGGGAGCAAACAGGAUUAGAUACCCCAGUAAU